AUAUGAAGAUCCCCAGGCGCCCUAAUUGAGUCCUUCCAGGGUUUUAGCGUUUUCCCUCCCAAUGCAGGGAUGAUUUGGAGCCGGAGUGGAGGAGGAGGAGCCACAUUGCCAGCGGCGAUGGCGAAGGUGGCAUCCAGCGUCGCCGCGACGUGCUUCCCAGUGCUCAAGGGGCGGGUUUGGAGGAUCAAUCGGCUCGCUGCUCGAAUCUAUCCGCCACAGGUGUGUAGGGUAUCAAUCUCCCGGCAGCAGGUCAUUCCGGCAUGGUCGAGCUUGGCAUUCCGGGGAAUGGUGAGCACUGGCGCUGUGGCGAAGAAGGAGAAAAUAUUUCGAGUAGAAGAAAAAGACGAGGAAGAUGAGCUUGAUGACGAAGAAGACGAGGAAGAAAAUGAUGACGAAGAAGAAGAAGAAGAGGGUGACUCUCUGGAAGCCAGAAAAAAUUUUGCUGACAAUGACGAUGAUGAUCCGGGCGAGUUGGAAAUUAUAAAAAGGAUCAGUGCCGAAGACACCGGGACCGAAAACAAGAAACCGGGUCCAUGGAAGUCGAGAUUUCCACCAUUGAGUCAAAAAGAAAAGAAAGAGCUCCGUGGACAUGCACAUCGGCUGGGAAAAUCCAUUGCGCUUCAUCACGUAGGGAAGUGGGGAGUUACUCCUAACUCACUCAAGUGUUUGGGCGACGCUCUGGAGAAGAACGAACUUAUGAAGGUGAGGGUCCUUGACAAUUGUCCAACACAUAUAAGCCAAGUUAUGCUGGACUUGGAGCACGGUUUAGAGGCCCAAGUCGUUGGUAAGAUCGGUCACGUACUCCUUCUAUACAGGCCAAGCCUCCGGAAGGCAGAGAUGGACGAGAAGAAGCAGAAGGUCGAGAUGGAUCGAAAAAAGAGGCCACAUUCACGACAAGAACGCGGAUGGAAGGCACAUGGUUGCUGAUUGCUAGGCAUCUAUUGAUCUGUUUUUCUUCAAAAUAUCUUUGGAUCUUAAUCGCGGUGCUUGCUUCUUCAAUGGCGAGAGUCUCGGUCUCCAGUUUCCAGCGUCAUUUGUCUCGAUCAGUCGUAUAAGCUUUGCGUGGAGAGAAUUUUUUCCAGAGGAUCUGAACAAUCGUAGCUGUAGUCUUGAGAAAGACUAGCGACCAACGAGAGAUGGCGGUUUGUGAACACGGAAUCGCUCCUGACCACGUGCAAACACGCUUCUAUUCGAUGGGAUAUGAGCUAAGUGAUUCUUUUUCUUCUUUUUCUUCCAGAUUAAUGACCUGAAAGUUACAGAAGCGAACCGAGUGUUAUUAUCAACUUGUCUAGAUCAAAAAAAAUCAUCCAG